AUAAUGGUGGCUUAAUUUGUUAGUGUCCGCUUCGGAUGCGGGAGGUCGCGGGUUCGAAUCCAGACCUAGUUAUA